AGGGCCGGGUUGUCCCUGGGCAAUGCUAAGUGAACAUUCAGCAGCGUCUACAAGAUGACACACAUAUGCUGAAAGCUCCGAGAAGCCAGCGGCAUGGGGGGUGCUGGUGACACGUGAUUCCCAUGGAGAAAUGGCCCCAAUCCACGGAGGCUCUCGCUGGGCCUUCAGAAUGUACGUGCCCAGGAAAAUCUCGCAUCAAGGAGUUGGUGUCUCGGCUGAGCUUUGGGGCUGGGAUCCAGCCCGGGCAGUCUCUCAUCUUUUCCUCUCAACAUCACCCCCGCUUCUGCAACCUGAAGCCUGUCUGCUGAUAUCCUCCUGGAUCCCACUGUUUUUCCAUGUGUUCUUUGCUGCGAACCUGUUUUCCAGCACAUCACAACAUCUCUUACGGAGAAUGUCCACUUCUGCAGCUCUGUGGCACGUGGCCUAAUGCCUUGCGCUGCCUGACCCUGCAGAAUUGCAGCAUCUCCCAAGUCAGCAGCUACUUCUUCCAAAGGAUUACUCUGGACUUACCCUGCCAGGGUGGAUUAUACCUGCAACAAGUUAUUAACUUGUGAAUGCUUUGCGUAGGGGUUGUGCCUGAAACUGUGUUUAGGUAGCAAGAAUGUGCUUGAUUCACGGAAAGACAUUUUCUAUUUGAGAAAAAAAUUAAAUCCCUUUUCUGCACUCCAGUAAAUAAAAGGACUCUACUAUUUAAAAACACUAGGAAAAACUAGCUCUUGGGAGGAAAAAUAAUACUUUCAAGUCAUGGUGAAACAAAGGCACACAGAGGGCAAUGCUAUGAAGAUAAGAUACACUUUUUAAAAAGAUUUCAGGGAAUAAGAUAUCCUAGAGAGUCUAAGUGAUAGGAAGUCUAUUAGUACUUUUCUAGAGGCAAAAACCAUUUUUAGAAUCUACACUCUCUUUAUACAUCUUUGGGGUAUUUAAAGAGAUGGCCUUAAACAGGCACUAAAAUGUCUACAGAACUCCUCUUUAAGUGUCCCCAGUGCCCUUUAAAGAAGGUCUGUUAUUGGCCAGGAGCCUAGUGCUGGGACUGCUGCUUGCAUGGUGAAGUGGGCGGGCAGGAGGUGUCUGAACUAUCCAUGAGCAGCCAUUGACAUGGGAGCUCAAACAUCUUUGUAUGUGAGUAGACAGAGACAAUCACAUGUAAUGCAAAAUACUCGCAUUCUAGGUACUAUUUGCCAUCUAUCCUAGAUAUUUCAGGACAAUCUCAUGUCCAAUUAUAUUUCUUCAUAUACUUUCACUCCCUUGGAAAUACUGUCUUUCCCCUGGAGAUGAUUGACUGAAUGAAUCUAGUCUACCAAGCUAAUAACUGAGCAAGCUGAGAUUUUCC